rnacentral:rRNA from 1 species
ACCCAGACUCCUACGGGAGGCAGCAGUGGGGAAUAUUGGGCAAUGGGCGAAAGCCUGACCCAGCAACGCCGCGUGAAGGAAGAAGGCUUUCGGGUUGUAAACUUCUUUUGACAGGGAAGAGCAGAAGACGGUACCUGUCGAAUAAGCCACGGCUAACUACGUGCCAGCAGCCGCGGUAAUACGUAGGUGGCAAGCGUUAUCCGGAUUUACUGGGUGUAAAGGGCGUGUAGGCGGGACUGCAAGUCAGAUGUGAAAACCAUGGGCUCAACCUGUGGCCUGCAUUUGAAACUGUAGUUCUUGAGUACUGGAGAGGCAGACGGAAUUCCUAGUGUAGCGGUGAAAUGCGUAGAUAUUAGGAGGAACACCAGUGGCGAAGGCGGUCUGCUGGACAGCAACUGACGCUGAGGCGCGAAAGCGUGGGGAGCAAACAGGAUUAGAUACCCGUGUAGC